rnacentral:tRNA from 1 species
AGGGCUGUUUCUGUCGGUUUUUACGCACGAAUUAACCGGCCUGUCACGCCGGAGGUCGCGGGUUCGAGUCCCGUCGGCCCCGCAA